AUGGAUGGCAAUGUCUUGGACACAGGUAGUGAAGCUUGUAGUUAUUCCAAGAGACACAGCUCAAUUGGUCGGGACAAGAAGCUUCUCGGUUGCGGCCAAGGGAAAGAAGGGCAGAAAGGUGGCGCAGCUGAUGCUAAACCUGUGCUCAGCAAAGAAAUGAAGAGUACAAGUGUGUUUGGGGCAAAUAUCCUAAAGGAGGGUUCUGACCCGAAGGUCCAACCAGACUCUGAGUACCCUGUCUGGUUGUGGCACACGAUCAACAAGCGUCCUGUUCUGAGCGAGCUGCAGAUGAAAGAUGCCAAGACGCUGCCUUAUGAAAACCUGAAGCGUUUUGCCAAGCUAGACAACCGGGUUUGGGUCAACGAGAACAAUGCUCUCACCGCUAAGAACUGA
rnacentral:rRNA from 1 species